GAUAUGGGUUUUUCUUGCUCAACCUCAACAAAUUCAAGUUUAAGAAUAUUUUUUAUUUUUUUCAGGUGUUGGUUCAACAGUUUUGCCUGACUUGAAAUCAAUGAUACUUACAUAUGGAACUUUCGGAUUCACUACUAUUUGGGCGGGUAGUUGGAUCGAUCCUUGAGACUGCAUGUGAUCAAUUGAAGUUGUCAGUUGCUUAAUUUCGGUCUCUAAAUUCUGAAAGGUUGUUAUUGUGCAAAGGAAUUUCCAUAUCGCAUGUUUGGAUGGUUACUUCAACUGGGGUGGUACCUGUUGAUGGUCAAAUCAGGGUUAUUGUACAUGUCAUAGUUGUUGGGUUGAGGGUUGUAUACAUUUGAUGCAUAUGCUAGAGAAAAGUCAACAUUAAGUGAAUCCUGCAAGGUAGGACAUGAAUUUGUUGGAUGCUCGAGAGGAGUGCCUGCUGCUAAGUAAUUUACCAAUGAAGUAAGAUCAUCAAGUCUGAUCUCUAAAUUUUGUUCGAAGUGGAAAAAGCUUGAAUCUCAUUCAGUCUUCCUUUCAAUAACGCUGAGUUGUUUAUGGUUGUGAACUACUGAAAAUUAAGUGACAUAUUCUUAAUUGGGAUAAAUAUGUCAUGGAUCCCCAAAAACAUCCCAACUUUUAAUUUUAUUCCUCCUAAAAAAAUUUUGUCCACAAUAUUCUUCCCUCCCGUCAAAACCCCCUAAUGGAAGUUGAUGCGGAGUCAAACAUGGGGGGUUUGACACGUGGAAGUGACCUUGAAUUAUAUUAUUUAUAUUUGUUUUACGUUGACACGUGGCAAUGACGUUGGAUUAUAUUUCCUUCAUGUAUUUUUUAUCUCAAACGAUUUUUGAUUUGUACUAUGAUGAAAUAUGUUUGACUAUAGUUGUAGGGUGAUGACACUUAAAAUUUAUUUAAGUGGGAUGAUGACAUCAAACAAGGAAAAUAUGUUGUUCAAGUUGUAAA